rnacentral:rRNA from 1 species
CACGUAGGCACCAAGCGUUAUCCGGAUUUAUUGGGCGUAAAGAGCUCGUAGGCGGUUCGGUAAGUCGCGUGUGAAAACUCUGGGCUCAACCCAGAGACGCCACGCGAUACUGCUGUGACUAGAGUGCGGUAGGGGAGCGGGGAAUUCAUGGUGUAGCGGUGAAAUGCGCAGAUAUCAUGAGGAACACCUAUGGCGAAGGCAGCUCGCUGGGACGUUACUGACGCUGAGACGCGAAAGCGUGGGGAGCAAACAGG